GAACGACCGACAAUAUUACGAGGCUUUACUUCACCACCGCAUGUCGAGACGCUCAAGGCAUCCUCAGCUCGGAUUUUGGCCAACCGCAUGCGGUAACACACGGGAGACCAGCUUCCGUCCUUUCUCCGAAAAGGAUGGGGACGACGUUUUGUGACACCCAGGCARACGUGCCCUCGGCCAGAAGGCUUGGGGCGCAACUUGCGUUCAAAGACUCGAUGGUUCGCGGGAUUCUGCAAUUCACACCAAGUAUCGCAUUUCGCUACGUUCUUCAUCUAUGCGAGAGCCGAAAUAUCCGUUGCCGAGAGUCKUUAUAUACUUUAUAUUGCACCACAGCUUCCGCACACAACCCGUCUCCAGGGUGGCCAAGGCCGGCUGUUUAAUUGCAUGUUCCUUGACACUUUUCGUGCCGGGGUUUUGUGAUAUCCGGAAGCUACGCGCAUAACCCAUAACGGAAAAUACACGAAACCACGGAAUCCGCAAGCUCGAGAUCAGAUAASAACCCGGCUUACCGAGAGUGAKGAUCAGUGGUUCGCGGGUUGUUCUGUUUUGGACAGGUGACGACWAUGAUCCUUCCGCAGGUUCACCUACGGAAACCUUGUUACAACUU
rnacentral:misc_RNA from 1 species